rnacentral:siRNA from 1 species
AAUGCUUUGGCAUCGGUGCUUUGG